rnacentral:lncRNA from 1 species
AGUCUAGCAACGGCGGUUUCCUUAAUGACGACUACAAAUACCAAAAGGGCGACAACAUCCUCCAACCUUUCGGUUACUUGGCUAGGGGAGUGA